rnacentral:lncRNA from 1 species
UAGUGAAUAAUAAAAGGAAGUCUUUGAUGCAAAGUGAUCAAGACUGUUUGGCAAGCUAGAUGCAGAUUAAGUUCUGAAUUUACAUACAAUCAGGCAGAAAACCAUAGGCCUAGCAUUAAAGGAUGUUAUUUCCAAUGAAGGAGGAAAUCUCUUCCACUCAGAGGAGCCUUGACUGUAAAGAUCAGGAGAGAAGGUGUGCUUCUCUACAGAAAAAGAGCAUGUGGGAACCUUUCAUUUGAAAACAUCUGACCAGCUGCAUUAGAGGUGAACAGAAACUUGAGGCUCUCUAGGCCCUAUACUUCUUAACUGGAACAGAAUGUGGAGGGAACUAUCCUGUAUCCUGUUGGUUGUGCUACAUCUCUUCCUGGAGGGAAUUAGCUGCCACAAUCCAGUAUUCCUAUUGUUUACCAGCUCUCACCUUGGAAUUUUGGAACCAAGUUUGCAGGCUUCUUCACUAAAAGCAGCAGCUGCAGUUCUGCAGUGGUAGCAGCAUCCAGCACACACUACAGUAUCACUACAGAGUGAAGUGUAAGGUAGUGCUCUCUGCACCUCUGAAGCUGUCUGGAAGAGGCAACAACUCUUUCUCAUAGCAAAGAGCAUGUAUACCUAACAUCUGAGUUCUUGCCUAAUGAUCCCUUCUCUUUCCCACAUGACUUUCUGUCUUCAUUUUCAGCUCUUCUCUGUUCUCAUUUUCUUCCCAUUUCCCAUUUCAUUAAAUUUAGGUAAGAAAAGAGAGAGAACACUCUGAUUUUGAUAUUGUAUCAAAAUGCUUAAAAAGAUUUUCCACGAUGAAUUAAUUAGAAUGAAUAUAGGCAAGUUACUUAAUCUCACUGUAUUUCAGAUCUUGAUAAAAUAAUGAUAAGAUUCUUUUUUUUCUAUCUGUUUUGACAGUAUAUUUUCCAUAUAUAAUGUAGAUUCUCUCUAUUUCAAUCCCAGUUACUCUGGUUAGAAAACCAUGGCUAGCAAAGUAUGGUCACUGAUGCUUCAUAUUUUGUUCUUAUUUUGUUUUGCGCUUUUACAUAUGAUUAAAUUGCAUUAAUAAUGAAAUC